rnacentral:rRNA from 1 species
UAGGGAAUCUUCGGCAAUGGGGGCAACCCUGACCGAGCAACGCCGCGUGAGUGAAGAAGGUUUUCGGAUCGUAAAGCUCUGUUGUAAGAGAAGAACGUGUGUGAGAGUGGAAAGUUCACACAGUGACGGUAACUUACCAGAAAGGGACGGCUAACUACGUGCCAGCAGCCGCGGUAAUACGUAGGUCCCGAGCGUUGUCCGGAUUUAGUGGGCGUAAAGCGAGCGCAGGCGGUUUAAUAAGUCUGAAGUUAAAGGCAGUGGCUUAACCAUUGUUCGCUUUGGAAACUGGUAAACUUGAGUGCAGAAGGGGAGAGUGGAAUUCCAUGUGUAGCGGUGAAAUGCGUAGAUAUAUGGGGGAACACCGGUGGCGAAAGCGGCUCUCUGGUCUGUAACUGACGCUGAGGCUCGAAAGCGUGGGGAGCAAACAGG